rnacentral:lncRNA from 1 species
GUCGAAAGCUUUCGAAAAAUCUAUGAAUAAAAUUGCUCCUUCUAUAUUAAACUUAUCUGCGUAAUCUAUAACAUCUUGUAUUUGGCGUAAAUUAAAACCUAUAAAUCGGUUCUUUAUGUAACCGGUUUGAUCGGCAUUAAUGAUUAAAUUUAAGAUUUUUUUUAUUCUUAAAGCUAGAGUGUAUGAAAGUAUUUUGUAAUCACUAUUUAAUAAUGAUAUUGGUCUAUAAUUUGCAAGUUCUAAAGGAUCAUUUUUUUUAUAAAUUAGAUUCAGUAAACUUUGUCUUUGCGUAAAUGGCAGAUAUUUAUUUUCAAAGCUAAAAUUAAAAAUUUUUACAAGCAUCGGUCCGAGAAGUUCCCAAAACUUUUUAUAAAAGUUUAUACUUAUUCCGUCCAUACCAGGACUUUUGUUUAUCUUUAGAUUAUUGACUGCAAUGGUUAAUUCUUCUAGAGUUACAUUUCCAUCACAAGACUUACUUUCUUCUUCUGACAGUUUAUAAUUACGUUUUGUUUCAGAAAUGUAUUUUUUAACAUCUAUAUCCGGUUUUUGUUUAGUGUCGUAUAGAUUAGCAUAAAAAUCUCUUUCAAGCUUUAAUAUUUCAUCUUGAUCUGUUACUAUAUCACCCUUAUCGUUUUUUAGUUUAAGUAUUGUCUUUUUCGUUUGUUUAGAUUUUUCAAGACCUAGGAAAUAUGCAUUAUUUUUUUCUCCCUUUUCUACCCACUCUUGUCUUGAUCUUAUUUGAGCUCCUUUUGCUUUGUAUUCAUAUUGAUUUUCUAGCUCUUUCUCUAAAGUGGAUAUUGUUUCUUUAAUAAAAUCAUUAUCUUCAUUAUUAGAUUUUUCAUAUAAUAUUUUUAAUUGUAGUUCUAAAUUACGCGUUACAUUUUUUCUUAGUUUAGCUUUACUUUUACUAUACUGAAUACUGUAUUCCUUUAUUUCCAACUUGAGGGAGUCCCACAGAAGUCUAGGAUCUAUUUCAUUUUUUCCUAUCUCAUUACUUUGUUUUUGUAUAAUUUGAUUUAUUUUGUCUUCGUAUUCUUGCUCGUCGAGAAUACCGUUGUUAAUUUUCCAGUAUCCCGGGCCUCUUGUUUCAGAUGAUACAGAUUGUAAUUGUAUUGAUACUGCUUGGUGAUCAGUACUUUUAAUAAGAAUAGGCCUAAUAUCACAUGACUUUACGUUUAACACAAAGUCUUUUUUAACAAGGAACAUGUCAAUUCUACUAGACUGGACUGGAUUUUUACGUCUCCAUGUGUAUUGGAUCUUUUGAGGGUUAACGUAUCUCCAUAUAUCUAUGAGAUCAUUUGAUUUAAUUAAAUUUUUUAGGCUAUUAACUGGUUUACUUACUUUUUUACGAAUAUUUGAGCUUUUCCUAUCUUCAUUUUUAAGGGCAUCGUUCAUGUCUCCUCCUAAAAUUAUUGUACCUAUUGCGUUUUUGUUUAAAAA